UUAGAGUGGCCCUGUUUUAAGCGCACACACGCUCUGCCUUGCUUUGCUGCCCGCAUCAAGCAGUGCAGACACUGGGAUGAAAUGUGUGAGUCAUCAGUGAUUGACGUCACUUAGAAGUGGCACUUGAGUGACCAAGGAUAUGCCAUUUUACACAUAUACUGAUUUAAUUCUUUGAUUCUACACUUGCAUAGCAUCCUUGCAUGCUUUCCUCGUUUCUUAUGAGGGAGAAGUUAAGAAAAAGAACAAAAAAGACAAAGAAAAAUAAGGAUACAGUUACAGAAAUGAGAAGCACCCUAUGAUGGAGUGACAUUGAAUAAACAUUGAUCUGUAGACAACGGUGUGAUCACCUGGGAUCUAGAAAGGACCAGCCAGCAACUCACAUCCUUGGAGUUAUUUCAGACUGCACAUUAUAGGUGUUUUUCUGAUCUUGCACACCCAAUUUACGUCUUGGAGCAUCUACUAACCAGAUGAGUGGAAUAAGAUUCCUCAGAGUGUGGGAGCAGUUUCUCCAGUGCCUCCUGCAACCAUUUUGUUUGUGUUUUGCUGUUAUUACUUUUGUGAUUGAGAUAAAUAAACUCUAGAAACCAUGUAAAAGUUGUUUUUAUUUAUAUAAUUGUUUUUC